rnacentral:tRNA from 1 species
GCUGGGGUUGUGGCUCAGUGGUAGAGCGCUUGCCUCACAUGUGUGAGGCACUGGGUUCAAUUCAGUUCUCAGCA